rnacentral:rRNA from 1 species
AACCUCCGCAAUGUGAGAAAUCGCGACGGGGGGAUCCCAAGUGCCAUUCUUAACGGGAUGGCUUUUCAUUAGUGUAAAGAGCUUUUGGAAUAAGAGCUGGGCAAGACCGGUGCCAGCCGCCGCGGUAACACCGGCAGCUCGAGUGGUAGCUGUUUUUAUUGGGCCUAAAGCGUUCGUAGCCGGUUUGAUAAGUCUUUGGUGAAAGCUUGUAGCUUAACUAUAAGAAUUGCUGGAGAUACUAUCAGACUUGAAGUCGGGAGAGGUUAGAGGUACUACCGGGGUAGGGGUGAAAUCCUAUAAUCCUGGGAGGACCACCUGUGGCGAAGGCGUCUAACUGGAACGAUCUUGACGGUGAGUAACGAAAGCCAGGGGCGCGAACCGGAUUAGAUACCCGGGUAGUCCUGGCCGUAAACGAUGUGGACUUGGUGUUGGAAUGGCUUCGAGUUGUUCCAGUGCCGAAGGGAAGCUGUUAAGUCCACCGCCUGGGAAGUACGGUCGCAAGACUGAAACUUAAAGGAAAU